rnacentral:piRNA from 1 species
UCGGAAAGCGGGGACUGGUGCUGCUUCUG